rnacentral:pre_miRNA from 1 species
AAAACACCAGACCGUCAGUCUACCGAGCAAUUUCAUGCGCUCGGUGGAAGAUUUUCCCUUUGUCGU